CUACGGGUGGCUGCAGUGGGGAAUAUUGCACAAUGGACGAAAGUCUGAUGCAGCAACGCCGCGUGGAGGAUGACACAUUUCGGUGCGUAAACUCCUUUUAUAUAGGAAGAUAAUGACGGUACUAUAUGAAUAAGCGCCGGCUAACUCCGUGCCAGCAGCCGCGGUAAUACGGAGGGCGCAAGCGUUACUCGGAAUCACUGGGCGUAAAGAGCGUGUAGGCGGAUAGAUAAGUCAGGAGUGAAAUCCUAUGGCUCAACCAUAGAACUGCUCUUGAAACUGUCUAUCUAGAAUAUGGGAGAGGUAGAUGGAAUUUCUGGUGUAGGGGUAAAAUCCGUAGAGAUCAGAAGGAAUACCGAUUGCGAAGGCGAUCUACUAGAACAUUAUUGACGCUGAGACGCGAAAGCGUGGGGAGCAAACAGGAUUAGAUACCCGGGUAGUC
rnacentral:rRNA from 1 species